AUUGAACGCUGGCGGCAGGCCUAACACAUGCAAGUCGAGCGGAUGAAGGGAGCUUGCUCCUGGAUUCAGCGGCGGACGGGUGAGUAAUGCCUAGGAAUCUGCCUGGUAGUGGGGGAUAACGUCCGGAAACGGGCGCUAAUACUGCCUACGUCCUGCGGGAGAAAGUGGGGGAUCUUCGGACCUUAUGCUAUCAGAUGAGCCUAGGUCGGAUUAGCUAGUUGGUGGGGUAAAGGCCUACCAAGGCGACGAUCCGCAACUGGUCUGAGAGGAUGAUCAGUCACACGGGAAGUGAGACAGGGUCCAGACUCCUGCGGGAGGCAGCAGUGGAGAAUAUUAGGCAAUGGGCGAGAGCCUGAUCCAACCAUGCCGCGUGUGUGAAGAAGGUCUUCGGAGUGGAAAGCACUUUAAGUUGGGGGGAAGGGCAGUAAGUUAAGACCUUGCGGUAUUGACGGUACCAACAGAAGAAGCACCGGCUAACUUCGUG
rnacentral:rRNA from 1 species